AGUUUCCCAGCAACACACCCUUGCAUGAGGAAGGACAGGAGUACCAAGACCAACAUACCAGUGCAGUAGAAUGGUCUCUGCAGCUUAAUGUUGGUCAAUAGUAGCACCAUGCCCCUGUAACUGUGCACCUAGAUGCUUGGGUUUUUUUUUUCCUGAGGUUUAGUGAAGAGCUGUUAAGGCCUAGGGUGGGGCAUUACAGCACUGCAGAAGCAUACGGAGCGUGUUGUCAGCCAUUAGCUCUGUGUGAAGUGGGACUGUGAGGUAUGGCGUUGCUUCUGUGUGUGCCUGGCAGCCAUGCCAAUAAGGGUAAGCAAAUAGUGUUUCUGUUCAGGUUGGCUGUGGAGUGAAAUAGGAACAGAUUCCAUUUUUCACCUUGGACUUCUGUACACUUUCAAAGUGCUAUCCUCUUCAAUAAAUGACUUCUCAACCA